UUGACUAGCUAACUGGAAUCAUGGAUGUGUCAUCUGUGAUAACGUAAAGGAAAAUAAUGAUACCACUUUACUAUUAGUGUUGUCCAAACCUGGUGCCAGAAGACUCGGUAAUGCCAGAGACGCGAGCGUUAGUCAUCUUGAUCAGGCGUAAAGGGUUUGUAGGCUGCUUUAAAAAUUAACAUCCUUAAAGCUAGAAUCAUAUAGAGGUCACUUUCAGAAAAUACUUAGAGUAGGGUUGAUAUCUGUAGAUACUAAGUGGAAUACUAAUUAGCGAAGGCUCUUUUCCAAUUAAUGAUUGACGCUGAGAAACGAAGGGGAGGAUAGACAAUAGGAUUAGAUACCCUGGCAUCCCUCUCUGUCAACGAUGAAUGGUAGCUGCUAGUUCUUUCAAGAUGCUAGUGGCGAGGUUAACACGUUAACCAUUCCGCCUUGUGAGUACAAUUGCAAAGUUGAAAACAAAAAAAUUAGUCGGUUUCGGAGCAAACGAAGUGAAGCAUGUUAUUUAAUUCGAUAAUCCGCCA
rnacentral:rRNA from 1 species